ensembl:lncRNA
GGCGGCUGCGGAGGCGGCGGCGGCGGCCCUCUUCGCGCUGCGCCCUGGCUUCACUGCACGCUCGUCUGCAGCCCGUGGUGCGGCGGCGGCGUGUCGGCGCUCACGGUGCCCACCUGCGAGUAGACGUCGUCGGGCGUCUGCUGCUGGAUCCCGGGCGGCGUCAUGCGCUUCUCCUUUUGGCGCCGAUUGCAGAACCAGACCCGCACCACCUCCUUCUCGAGCUGCAGGCUGUCGGCCAGAUGGAGUCCCAUUCUGUUGCCCAGGCUGGAGUGCAGUGGUAUAAUCUUGGCUCAAUGCAACCUCCGCCUCCCAGGUUCCAGUGAUUCUCCUGCCUCAGCCUCCCAAGUAGCUGGGACUACAGUUCUGCAAGCUGAGAAGUCCAAGAUCACGAUGCUGGCUGAUCAAGGUUCCUGGUGAGGACUUUCUUCCUGGUUUGCAGAGAGAGAGAGAGAGAGAGAGAGAGAGAGAGCCAGACAGACAGACGGGUUUCUUCCCCUUUUUAUAAGGUCAUUAAUCUCAUAGUGACAGUGACACCUUCAUGACCUCAUUUAACCCAAAUCACCUCCCAAAGUCUCCACCUCCUGAUACGAUCACAUUGGGGGUUAAGGCUUCAACGUAUACAAUUUGAUGGGGACACAAGCAUUUAACCCAAAGCACCCUCCCACCAUGUCGACAGAGCUGUAGGAGGAAUUUAGCACAGCUGGGAAAAUUUCUCUGGCACAUAAUCAGGCAUUCAUUGUUGGUAAUCUCUAUCAAAAGCUUAUGAAGCAACACAAUGAUGCUGAAUAACAAACAAUUCUAAAUCUCAGUGAUUUAAAUUAACCAUCAUCUAUGCUCAUGCUUCCUGGGCUGCAGGUCAGCUGUGGCGUGGGUGAUCUACGUGGGUACAGCUAGGCACCUCUCCUCCAGGUAUGCCUUGCAGGUGCACGGGUCAGUUGGAAAAACUCUCUUUCAAGCCACAGUUUGUAUUCAGAUCUAUUUUAUCUGUCUCAUUCUGCAGUGAUCAUCACAGGGCAUAGAGCUAUCUGAUUUACAACCUUUUUAAGUUGCGAGUAGCAGCUCUCAAAGUGGUAUGUGUAAACAUGCAAUGCCUUAAGGCCUAGGUUCCAAAUUGAUAUAUGGUCAUUUCUGCCCGCAUUUCACUGGCCAAAAGAGUCCCAUAGUCAAGCUUGACAUCAAUAGGGUGAGAAAGUCAACUCUUGCCAUUGGAGGCCAGUAUGUUUCUGUGUUGGGGGCAGGAGAGGUACUGAAUAUUUGUUAAACAAUCAUUUAAUCUAUCACAACUAUAUUUACAGAAAGUCCUUUACUUUCUGACGUAGGCCUCUACACAUGAAUUAUUUCAAGUUUGCCCCCUUCCUGCUUUUUUUGGUUUUCCCCUGAGUUUGUUAUGAGUAGCCAGAAAGAUCUUCUCUCCUUAGGAAAAAUAUGUAGAAGAUUUAGAAACACCUGACUUUGCAUGAACUUCCAGAAAAAACAGCCAGACGUGGUCCAGUUGAGUCUCUGUCCUGCUGCUUGAGGAAGGGGACCAUGGGACGUGGGUCUAUGGGUCUCAUUUGGAUUUGAGGCCAUGUGUUGAGCCGCCCAGUACAGACCAGACAGCAGAAUGUCACCUCCGCAGAUGUGUACCUGACUUUACUGCUCCGAUUACAGCAUCACUUCUCCCCUGUCACCAACUGGCAACCCACAGCAAAGGAUGUUUUUCUGAUCAUUUUGCACUCAUUAAACGCAGCUGUCACAACAGUGGAUGCGAGGAUGCAUGCAAAACUUUUCUGCCACAUCAAAAUAAAGCUGAAAUGCUUUUUAAAAAAA